AGGGUCUCGAGGGAUCCCAAAUCGUCGAGGGUAUCCGACACUUCCCAAGCUCUUCUCUCCUCCGGGUAUAGGGUUUCGUUCAAGAAUGGCUCUUCCAGCGGGUUCUUGGAAGGGAUAAAGCGGCGGGAGCCUGAGCUUCUCCGGGUUCCUCGCAUCAGGGAGGGUGGUUCUUGGAAGCGAACGAAUCGUCGGGCCCGAUGGGCUUUUUGGUUCCUAUGCAUCGCAACUUCCUCUGUUCCCGCUAAUGUUUCGUUCAUGAACGGCGCUUCCGACGAGUUCUUGGAAGAGAACGAGCCACGGGGCCGGAGUUCGAACCCCACCAGGUUCUUGGAAGAGGUUUCAUUUCCAAAUGCCCGAGAGGAUCUCGGAUUCCUGCGCUUCCUAAACUUUGAUUUCCUCUCUCAAGGGUUUCGUUCAAGAACGGCGCCUCCAGCGAGUUCUUGGAGGAGGUUUAAGGUGUUCUUUAAUGAGUUUUUGGAAGAUAACCACCCGCGAAGCCGGAGUUUCUUUAAACUAUGUAUGUUCUUUAAAGAAGCCGGAGCUUCUUCAACCUCCAGCUACUUCUUGGAAGAGGUUUAAGGUGGUUUCCUUUUCUUUGGCUGGCCUUGCCCUCUGCAAUGCCGAUCACAUGGUGAUGUCUGUGGCCAUCGGUCUGCUCUCCAGAGCCCAUGGCAUCGUUCAGGAGAAAAAUGCUCUUCUGGGAAUGGAGAUUUGGGAAGACUGAUAUGGCUUAUGUAAGCAACAUAUCUCUAAGAAGGGCCAAGAAGAGGUUUCUGAAGAUUGGCUUGAGGAUUAAAUAGGGAACCAAUUAUAAUGCAUGCGUGACUUGCAUGGUACAUUAUAUGCAUAU